rnacentral:rRNA from 1 species
AGUGAACGCUGGCGGUAGGCCUAACACAUGCAAGUCGAACGGCAGCACAGUAAGAGCUUGCUCUUACGGGUGGCGAGUGGCGGACGGGUGAGGAAUACAUCGGAAUCUACUUUUUCGUGGGGGAUAACGUAGGGAAACUUACGCUAAUACCGCAUACGACCUACGGGUGAAAGCAGGGGAUCUUCGGACCUUGCGCGAUUGAAUGAGCCGAUGUCGGAUUAGCUAGUUGGCGGGGUAAAGGCCCACCAAGGUGACGAUCCGUAGCUGGUCUGAGAGGAUGAUCCGCCCCACUGGAACCUGGACCCGGGCCAGACUCCUACGGGAGGGCGCAGUGGGGAAAUUUUGACCAAUGGGGCAAGCCUGAUCCAGGCAUACCGGGGGGGUUAAGAAGGCCUUCGGGUUGGUAAGCCCUUUUUUUGGGAAAGAAAAGCCGCCGGUUAAUACCCCGCUGUUCUGACGGUACCCAAAGAAUAAGCACCGGCUAACUUCGUG